AUGGAGCUCUUCAAGGACGCGCGGUCCGUGCGGCUCAGGAGCCACCUGGGCACGUACCUCUGCGCGCUCGACGGCGUGGCCGUCUCCCACGGCCACCGCCGCAACUCCCGCGGCACGGUCUGGGCCGUGGAGCUCGCCGGCGACGACUACGUGCGCCUCCAGGGCCACCGGGGCCUCUACCUCGGCGCCACCGAGCUCCCCGCCGACGUCCUCGGCCGCGGCCGCGGCACCCGGGCCUGCUGCGGGGUCGUCCUGGGCUCACCGUCCUGCCCCAACGACAACGCCUUCCUCUGGUCGCCGCUGCGCGAGGGCGAGCACCUCGCGCUGUCCGGGCCCUACGGCCGCCUCCUCCGCGCCAGGUUCGGGCACACGGCGCAGGACAACGCCGUCACCGUCGACCUGGACGCCGACCCGGAGGAGAGCUCCUGGGUCGUCGAGGUCGUCCCGGCCGCGGAGGCGGCGUCGCCACGCCCCUGCCGCGCCCAGUCCUGCAACGCCCGCUUGGAGGCGGACACGUCGGAGUCGGACACGGCGUCCAGCGUCCUCGCCAGGGUGCGCUCCGCCAAGGACAUGACGAGUUCACUUGCUACGGUCGAGGAGGAGCCCCUGUCGAUGCCGGCCGCGCGGCUGAUCUUCUACAACACCGCCAGGGACGACGGCGGCGUGGACGAGUUCGACGAGGGGACGUGGAAGUACUUCUCGUUCAAGGAGCAGAGCCUGGCGGCGCUGCACCGCAGGCUGGAGGAGGAGACCCGGCGGCAUGACUUCGUCGUCUGCCGCAGGAGCGGCCCGGGGCUGUUCCCCGUCGUCCUGGACCUCCCUCCCGGCAGCAGCCAGAUGGAGUUCUUCCUCGUCCCGGCGCCUUCUCCUGCAGGUCAACAAUGGGGUCGCUCUGCUUCUUUUGUUCUCUGA
rnacentral:rRNA from 1 species